rnacentral:sRNA from 1 species
CAGUUGGAGUUUAUGACAAAACAGCCCGAUACUGGAGAAUUAAAUCAAAAAAUCAUGCCAUGAGCAUUCAUGCUUUUGACCUUAAUUCUGAUGGAGUGAAUGAACUGAUAACUGGUUGGUCCAAUGGGAAGGUUGAUGCUCGAAGUGACCGAACUGGGGAGGUCAUCUUUAAGGACAAUUUUUCUUCUGCAAUUGCCGGUGUGGUAGAGGGAGAUUACCGGAUGGAUGGCCACGUACAUCCGGGGCUACCUGCCUGGCACGGCUGAGAUGAGGGGGAACCUCAUGGACACCAGCGUAGAGCAGGACCUGAUCCGAGAGCUGAGUCAGAAGAAGCAGAAUCUGUUGUUGGAACUCCGUAACUAUGAGGAAAACGCCAAGGUAGGUCCUAAUGUGACCGGGUAAUGGAGGCUGAAAUGUUGAGACUGACCAGGAGGAUCAGCAAAUAUGGAAGCAUGAGAGUGUCAUUG